ACUGUGUGAUUUUUGUUCUUUAGUAGAAGGAUAACAUGACAUAGCAGGAAUAAUACUGCCUUUUCUUUCUGGCAUGGAUCAAGAGAAAAGAAAAUACAAGAAAACAGACAGAAGCAAGGCAAGGUACUUCUAUGGAAGGGUGAGCCCUCACAGAUGGAGCAAUGGGGCGCGCACACCUGAACAAGGGAGGGGAAGGAGUUCUUAUCCCUGAUGCAUGUGACCCCUGCUGCUGUGUCCUUCCCCUAUUGGCUAAGGUUAGACCACACAGCCUAAACUAAUUCCGAUUGGCUAAUUCAAAGAGAGCGACGGGGGCUUCUGACAGCUUUGGAGAUUGUGACAUUGGAAUAAAGGAAAAACGUACAGGACUCAUGAAGCGCUGAAAUGUUCACAAAUAUCAAGCAAAAGUCAAUGAAAUUUAUUUUGAGCUAUUUACAUCAUUUAAUAAUUGAGCAAGGUAUACUCCUAUGAACAAAAUUUGGAGCAUGUUUGUCUCUCUCUGCCUGGCGUCUUCAGAAUUUGGAAACUAGUUAUGGUUUAUAAUCAGCUAUAGAAUUUUAACACGUGCUCUCAAAUGCAAGUUUCUGAUAACUUUGGAGAUUGUGACAUUGGAAUAAAGGAAGAGCUGGAAUGUUCAUGAAUAUCAAGCAAAAGUCAUGGAAAUUUAUUUUGAGCUAUUUACAGCAUUUAAUAAUUGAGCAAGGUAUACUCCUAUGAACAAAAUUUGGAGCAUGUUUGUCUCUCUCUGUCUGCCUGGCAUCUACAGAAUUUGGAAACUAGUUGUGCUGUACUGCAUGAGAAUGCCUGCAUUUAGUAUGCGAACUGGAAUUGGCAAAGGACGAUGGCUGCUCUCCCGCUAACUUUAAAUAAGUCAUGUCACAAAUUGCAUUCGUUCCCAGAUUUCCUAAACUUUCCAGAGAAAAUGGUCUUCUCCCUGGCUCAGCAAGAAGAUGAACUUUAAACACUGAGAAACUGGUCAUCUCCCUGGCUCAACCAGAAGAUGAACUUUAAACACUACUCUCAAUGACUUGAUGUUCCCAUCACUACUCCUGUCAUAAAGGGAGGGGACUCAGAUAUUGAGAAUUUUAUGAUAGUGUGAACUGUCUGGUAUGUCAUUUAAGUAAGCCCGUUGCUGAAAUAUUUUCCAUGUUAUUAGAAAGAGCUGAAGAGAGGGAUUGAGAUGGCUUCUUUAUUUUUUGUCUUUUGGGAAUUAAAGGAACCUGGUUCAACAAGGGCCUACACCUAAGUCUCUUGUUGUACCAGAGUACAAUUUAGGACUGCUCCUGAGGAAGGAAUUAGCUAGAAAUCUAGAGAGUAAGGGUAACAGAUUUACAUAGAAUAACAGCCUCAGUAUUUUUGGUUCCUCUCCAGUAAAGAUCACAAAGAAUAUUGCUAAAUCGCUAAAACACCUUUGCAAUAACGUAAGGGCUUACAACUAUAUACCAAUGUAGCUCAGUUACUAAACUGGAGUAAACUAAUUUCUCUUGUGUAGAAAAAUUGGUUGGCUGUGGUUUUAUAGCAGAUCUGCAAUUAUUAAUAGUUAUGCCAAUAAUCGUUUAACAGUGCAUAUGUUAAUAUAUAUGGAAAGACAAUGUGUAUAGACAGAUGUGUAAAAUUGAAAAAUAAACAUAUAACAAGAGAGAAACAUCUAUCGAACAGACAAUAUACAUACACAUCAAACACAACAGCAGUUUUAGUGACCAUAAUAUUUAUUUCUCAUUUUUACAUUGCUUACUUUAGUGACAACUGAAAAUGACAGUUGGCAAUGCAGCUAACAGUUUCAAUAAAAGUAUAAAACAAAAGACUGUGUACAAAGCACCUGUCUUUCCGCUUUUGUAAUCUUCCGUUGGAAAAAAUUUACACACCUAAGUAACCAUCUGUUUUCUUCAAGAAAAAAUCAUUCUUAUUUCUCUCUCUCAUCUUGAAAACAGCUGUCAGCCAGGAGGGCAGAGCUGAAAUUUAUUGCCACAUCACAUGAAGCAUAGAACAGACUCCACUACUCCUUGAGAUUCAAAACUUUGCCUCUCACAAAGUUACCUUUUAUUUUCCUCUUGUUUGUCACUCAUCUCCCCUAGUGUGCUCUUUUUAUUUCUUUUACUAUUAAUAAUAAAAUCUGUGGAUGACUGUAUUAUU